GUUCUGAAGGCUGGGAAGGCCAAGAUCAAAGUGCUGGCAGAUUCAGUGUCUGGUGAGAGCUUGCUUCCUGGUCCAUAGACUGCCUAUGUGUUCUUCUCACUGUGUCCUCACCUGGCAGAAAGGGCAAGGAUCAGUUUAUCCUGAAAUAUGUUACAGAGGAGAAAUGGAAAGAUUCUUUGAAAAAUAUACCAACAGCAAUGAUCACCUUUAUUUUCAAAUCAUGGACAAUCAGAGGUAUAGAUUUACACGGGGAUUGUAAGCCUGGGAUUAGGCCAUUGAAUUUUUAACUUCCAUGUGAUAUUUUUUACGUGACAUUUUUUUAAGCCAGAUUCUGCCAUGCUAUACUUGCUCAAUUUAUUCUUUUUUUAAACUUAGAAGUAGAACUUUACUAUAUCUACUAAUUUUAUCUUAAUCCUUCUGACUUGUAGAAAGGCUUUUAAAUUUUAAUUUUAUCAUCUGUACUACUAAUUAGCAUUUCCAGCUUUAUGAUGCUAAAACUUUAGCAAGAAUGGCACCUCUAUGAAGGCACGAGCACUGUUCACUGGUCAGAAUAUAACACAGUACAGUUACUUUGGAGGUGAAUUUGGCAAUGUAUUUUAAAAUUAAAGUUGAAAAUGCAGGAACCCAAUAAAUCCAUCACUAGGUAACUCUGGAGAAAAAGUUAAAUAUACGCACAUGGAGAUACGUACAAAGAUGGUCAUCGCAGCACUGUUUGUAGUGGCCAAGACUUGUGUAAAACCUAAAUGUACAUCAGUCAGGAAAUAAUUAAGGACUCUGGAAUACUCUGUAGCCAUUAAAAUGAACAAGGUAGAUCCAUGUUUAAUUAUCAUGGAAAGAAUUCUAAGACAUACGCUGAGCGAAAACACAAGUUACUGAAAGUUAGGGAAACGUGAUACCAUUUAUGUAAAGAUACAUACACUCAUACUAAACAACACUGUAUCUUUUCUAUGGUACACAUAUGCAUGUAAAUGCACAAAGAAAAAUCUGAAGUGAUACACCCCAAACUGAGAAAAAUGGUUUCAUCUGGGAAGAAGAGGGAAGUGACUGGGACUGGGGGAGGAGUCCAGAGGAUACGCUCACCAUUAUCUGUAAUGCUUUCAUUUUUCACGAAGAUAUUGUAUACCUUUGUAUUACUGUACAAAGUUAAUUUUUAACCAGUUAAAACACAACAACAAAAAGAAUGAAAAGAAAGCUAAUUCAAGGUGUCAAUAAAAACGUUUAAAAGGAAAACAUCCUUAAGCUCACAUUACAAAAAUACUCCUUCAUUUUAUAGAAAUGGUAAAUUAAGAAAUAAGAAACCAAUUAUAAGACAUUAGCUGCCUGAGAAAGUCCAGGAACAUCUUCUCACUGGAAGAUUCUCAACGUGCCCUUGUGGACAUUUGGGGAAUGGGCACCAAAUCAAUCCAUGCUCUCUCCUGUUCCGUGAUGUGGCCUAUUUCUGGGCCCUCGUCCCUUCAUAUUCAGUAUGAAUUUUGGUUUUAUCUCUUAUAAUGGGACUGAAAAUUAAAAUACCUCAGAGUCCAACUUUGAGGAGCGAGGCAAUAAGUGGAUGAAGGGAUACUUACGAAGAUCUUCUCUCAAAAUACAACUGCAGCCACUUUCCAACGGGGAGGAUAAGGUGGAGUGCAGAAGUCAGCAGAGGGCCGUCCCUGGAGUCCUACAGGACAUGGCCAGAGGUGACACGGGGCAUCUUUACUUUAUGGACGCUCUGCAUUUACUUUCUGUAUUUUAUUGAGGAAUUUUACCUCAAAUUAUUAUAUUUUUCUCAUUACAUAUGUUUUCAAAUAAGUAGGAAAAAUUAGUACAUGCAUAUGGUUUAAAAAAAUCAAGUAGUACAAAAACAGUACAAUGAGAAGUCUGCCUUUAACUGCAGGUUCCAGUCCCCAGAGGCAGACACUCCUGAAAUAUUCUGUGUCUAUAAAAGCACGUAUUGGGUUGGCCAAAAUGUUCAUUCGUUUUUUUCCGUAAGAUGCCUCUAGUAGCACUUAGUUGUCUUUAACUUCAUUUGAAACAAUUUUGUUAGAUUGUAUUGUGAUACAAUACAAUCUGUAUACUGUGUACUGUAUACAGCUGCCAUAUCAGCGUGUAUUUUAAAAAAAUGAUCAAUAUGGUGAAUUUUUGUGUAGCCAUUUUAAUACUGAAGAUGGAAGAAAAAAGCAACAUUUUCAGCAUAUUAUGCUUUCUAAUUCCAAGAAAGGUUAAAACGCAACUGAAACGCAAAAAAAGAUUUGUGCAGUGUAUGGAGAAGGUGCUGUGACUGAUGGAACGUGUCAAAAUUGGUUUGCAAAGUUUCGUGCUGGAGAUUUCUCACUGGACCAUGCUCCACAGUCGGGUAGACCAGUUGAAGUUGACAGCGAUCAAAUCGAGACAUUAAUUGAGAACAAUCAAUGUUACACCACGCGGGAGAUAGCCGACAUACUCAAAAUAUCCAAAUCAAACGUUGAAAUCAUUUGCACUAGCUUGGUCAUGUGAAUCACUUUGAUAUUUGGGUUCCUCAUAAGUUAAGCGAAAAAACCUUCUUGACUGUAUUUCCGCAUACAAUUCUCUACUUAAACAUAACGAAAACGUUCCGUUUUGAAAACAAAUUGUGACGGGCAAUGAAAAGUGGAUAGUGUCCAAUAACGUGGAACGGAAGAGAUCAUGGGGCAAGUGAAAUGAACAACCACCAACCACACUAAAGGCCGGUCUUCAUCCAAAGAAGGUGAUGUUGUGUAUAUGGCGGGAUUGAAAGGGAGUCCUCCAUUAUGAGCUCCUCCCGGAAAACCAAACAAUUAAUUCCAACAACUACUGCUCCCAGUGAGACCAACUGAAAGCAGCACUCGAUGAAUAGUGUCCGGAAUUAGUCAACAGAAAACGCAUAAUCUUCCAUCAGGAUAACGUAAGACCACAUGUUUCUUUGAUGACCAGGCAAAAACUGUUACAGCUUGGCUGGGAAGUUCUGAUUCAUCUGCUGUAUUCACCAGAUAUUGCACCUUCGGAUAUCCAUUGAUUUCAGUCUUUACAAAAUUCUCUUAAUGGAAAAAAUUUCAAUUCCCUGGAGGACUGUAAAAGGCACUUGGAACAGUUCGCUGUUCCAAAAGAUAAAAAGUUUUGGGAAAAUGGAAUUAUGAAGUUGCCUGAAAAAUGGCAGAACGUAAUGGAACAAAAGGGUGAAUAUGUUGUUCAAUAAAGUUCUUGGUGAAAAUGAAAAAUGUUGUCUUUUGUUUUUACUUAAAAACCAAAGGCAUUUUUUUGCCAACCCAAUAUAUUGCAGGCAUAUGCAUGUUUUCCCUUCAUGAAAAUGGAAGCAUGCUAAACACAUUGCAGUAUGCCUUACAUUUUUCACUUAUUUUCUACUUUUUCAGUAUACCUAGAUCAUUCCAUAGCCAUGUAUAUAGAUUGACUUCAUUAAAAAAAAAAACUGCAAUAGUUCUUUAUAAAUUGCAUCUGGUAAUGAUGGGCUCUCAAAAAACAUUAAAUGAAUGACUCCACAUAAUUUCUUUCAUAAGCCUCUAAUGAUGACCAUUUUAUUGUUUAUUUCCAGUCUUUGCAACCACAAGCAAAGCUGAAGUAUAUAUGUUCACACAUCUUUGUGCAUGUGUGUGAAUAUGUCUGUAGGAUAAAUUCCUAGACAAGAAAUUGCUGAAUUAAAAGAUACACUUAUUUCAAAUAUUGAAUGCUAUUGCUGAUCCAUCUCCCACCAGCAGUGAAAGAGUACCUG